rnacentral:rRNA from 1 species
UACAGAGGGGGCAAGCGUUGUUCGGAAUUACUGGGCGUAAAGGGCGCGUAGGCGGCCUGUUAAGUCGAACGUGAAAUCCCCAGGCUCAACCUGGGAACUGCGUCUGAUACUGGAUGGCUUGAAUCCGGGAGAGGGAUGCAGAAUUCCAGGUGUAGCGGUGAAAUGCGUAGAUAUCUGGAGGAAUACCAGUGGCGAAGGCGGGUCUCUGGACAGUUCCUGACGCUGAGGCACGAAGGUCAGGGGAGCAAACGGG